UGAGACUCUCAUGAGGGAUGGGCUGA
rnacentral:piRNA from 1 species